rnacentral:rRNA from 1 species
UACGGGGGGAGCAAGCGUUGUUCGGAUUUACUGGGCGUAAAGAGCGCGCAGGCGGUCGUCCAAGUCGCGUGUGAAAGCCCCCGGCUCAACUGGGGAGGGUCACGCGAUACUGGUCGACUCGAAGGCAGGAGAGGGUAGUGGAAUUCCCGGUGUAGCGGUGAAAUGCGCAGAUAUCGGGAAGAACACCCGUGGCGAAGGCGGUUCUCUGGGACGGUACUGACGCUGAGACGCGAAAGCGUGGGGAGCGAACAGG